UUGGAGGGCAGUGAACAAGAGAGGCAGUAGGUGAGGGGUUGGGGGGGUCGGGCAGGGCCACCCGAGAGCUUCCAGCACAAGGGUAAGGGCUCAGGCUCUGUCUCUCGAGGCAGUGGCAGGCCCGGGGAGCAGAGGGAGCUGAUUUGCAACACGGAUCCCGCGGAAGCGGAGGCGGGCAGCCCGGCUGGACAGACAGCACGGCAGGUCAGGGGUGUGCGGCGUGUGCCGUCGCCGGCGGGCACCUGGUGUCUGGCCUGAGCUGCGUGCGGAGGCGGGGCUGUUGCGAAGCAGCCGGAGGCCCGGACUCCUGGGUUGAAUCCUCGGGGUCCCGCCGCAAUCUGUGGGUGCAGCUCCCAGAGAGUAAGGGCCGUGCAGAGACCGAGCGGUGAUCUCUUGGGGAGGCAGCUGUGAGGCGGGCCCACGGUGCGUCCACGACAUAAUUUUUCUUGGCAAAGGUGACGGGCAGCAGACUGACCACUGCUGGGCCGCGGUAUCGGGCCCCGCACCCCCACCCUGUGGUACAGGGAGCGCUGCCACUCUACCUGCUGAGGCCCAGGAAGUGAGGCCUGGAAGAGUGCCCUCAGAAGCAGAGCCAGGAGCCAGCUGCCCCAUCAAAGGCCGCUGCUCCCAGGAAUCUUGGGUCUGAUACACAGAGGCGCCGACUGAGUGUUUCUUAACCAAAACUUGAACACCGAGAUGUCAAAGCCCGAGGCUGAGAAAACUGCAGUGAGGCCUGGGGCGGAGGGAAGAUUCACCUCCCAGUGGCCUCCGGUCCCUAGACCUGUCGUCUAGUGCAAGAGGGCCGCCAGCCUCAGAGCCUCCGACGGGCUGCAUGACUAGCCCACUUCUUUACAGAAGGAGGCAGCGGGAGGUCACAGCUGGCACAGGCUGAGCCUGGCCCAGAACCCAGGUCCUGACUCCUCACCCAGUGCUCUUCCCGGGGCCUCCUUGGCUCCUGCUGCAUCAGGAUGGGGAGACAGAAGCUCUGAUAAACUCCACGGGGGCCCACCCGUCUUUGAAAUGCCUGGAACCCUCCUCUGCUGGAGCAGUGGGGCACCUCCCCAGGCACAUGCAGAGGCCUGGUUCACAGCUUCCGGCUGCAGGACGAGCGGCGGUGAUAAGCCGGCGGCGCCUGGCUCCCGCACAGCGGUGCACGUGACCAAAUGGCCAGCCACCAGAAGGCUCUGCAGGGAGAGGAUCUGGAGCCCCAGCUUCCAGGUGUGCCGCAGCAGAUACAGUGCCCUCAGAACGGCCCCCACUGGGCACUAGGCCAGAAGUAUGUGGCCCUGACCUUGCCCUUGGAGUUGAAACUCAGACGCAAGCAGGCCACGCCAGCAGGAACUUGGCCUUGUCUACCUCGGCAGCCCUCAAGACCACUGUUCCCGACAGACAGACAGACAUAGCCGCCCAAGCCUGCCCCCCUCUCCACGGGAGACUGCCCAGCGCCCUGCAGACACAGGCAGAAGAAGAAUCAUCCUGCCUUUGAUCUGUCCACAGGCCUGGGAGAACAAGACAGGGACCUACGGGUAGGGAAACUUUGCUUUUCCUUAGGUGAUCUAAAAUGAAGUUUUUAUUGUAAUCUUAGAUUUACAGAAAAGUAGCAAAGACUGCGUGAGCUUUGCUGUAGCCUCCCCACUCAGUUUCUCUCAAGGUAACACCUGACACAGGCGUGGCUCAGCUGUCACCGUGAGGAACUUUGGCACUUGGCAUUAAACUCCAGACUUUACUCGGA